rnacentral:rRNA from 1 species
CUACCCUUCAGCGCGGGACAACGGUUCGAAAGGACCGCUAAUACCGCAUACGUUGUUGACGGCUACGGCUGUUACCAAGAAAGGAUGGCCUCUACUUGUAAGCUAUCGCUGGAGGAUGAGCCUGCGGCCCAUCAGCUUGUUGGUGAGGUAACGGCUCACCAAGGCUAAGACGGGUAGCUGGUCUGAGAGGAUGAUCAGCCACACUGGGACUGAGACGCGGCCCAG